rnacentral:lncRNA from 1 species
CAGGGAAACCUCCAAGAAGAGAGAGGACCUGAGAGAGUCUGAUGCUCCUUCGGCCUCUGAGCCAGACCUCUCUCGUCGGAGCCCUAUGCUGCCUGCCUGACUUCUCUGCUGGGAGACGUGUCGGGGCUGGAACCCUGACCUCCUUCCCUGGCUCCCUUCAGUCCUCUGUCUCUUGGGAAAUGGAAUCAUCAUCCAUCCAAUUCCCUGUUUGUUUCCGUCACAGGAUCCCAGCCAGUCUUCUAUUUACUUGUGUGCUGGUUUGGGGUCUGCCUUUCUCACUAGCUUGUAAGCACUAUAAGAACAAGACUAGGUGUGUCUUUUUCACCAUAGACUGUGCGGGACGUAAUUCAGGGCUGGCUAGUCGGUGGGGGAGAAGGCUUGGGAGGUGGGAAGAGCAUAACUGAUGUCAGUCGUCAACAGCCUCCGAAGCGCGGGUUACCCCCGAAAACACAGGGUGACUCCCAGAGGACGUUUCAUGGUCGCAUCAAGUCCUUUUACUCCAUUGCUCCUCAGGAACCUGGUCUGUGCUUCCGCGAUCCUGCCUCCUCUCCGCCCAUCGGUUUAACCCAGAGUGUUUGUCUUCUCGUUCUGAGCUGAACCAUCCUCCUGCCUCUGCAGGCAGCACAGAGCAGUGAGAGGAGCACUGGAAGAGGUGGAGCAAGGUGUGGUGUCGGGAGACUGGCGAUUGCGGUGGCCUCUUCUCCCCACCUCCCCAGGACACGUGCCGUGUCCUGGGAAGCCAGGUGGAGUAGUGGUCCAGAACACAGCUUCUGGGGUCCACAGAGCUGGUUUGAAUCCGAGACCUGCCACGUUUCAGCUGUCAGAGCCUAGCCUCUCUGAGUCUUAGUUUCCUUAUCUGUAGAAUGGGGAUAAAAAUAACAUCUCGUAGUUGUAUGCAUUACAGUAAUAUAUAUAUAUAUAUUAUAGUCUUUUUAGGGCCACACCCAUGGCAUAUGGAGGUUCCCAGGCUAGGGGUCAAAUCGGAGCUACAGCUGCCAGCCUACACCAUAGCUCACGGCAACCCCACUGAGUGAGGCCAGGGAUCGAACCUGCAUCCUCAUGGAUACUAGUCAGAUUCAUUUCCACUGAGCCAUGAUGGGAACUCCAGAUGUUAUAUUUCAAGUGCUUCAUCUUUUUUUUUUUUUGUCUUUUUUGAGGGCCGCACCCAUGGCAUAGGGGUCUAAUGGGAGCUGUAGCCACUGGCCUACACCACAGCCACAGCAACAGCAGAUCCAAGCUAAGUCUGUGACCUACACCACAGCUCAUGGCAAUGCCAGAUCCUUAACCCACUGAGUGAGGCCAGGGAUUGAACCCGCAACUUCAUGGUUCCUAGUUGAAUUCAUUUCUGCUGCGCCACGAUGGGAACUCCAGUGCUCCAUCUUGUACCUGACAAACAGGAAGUAUUCCAUAAAGAGUAACUAUUAAUGAGGGCAUAUCUGUUCAUGGUUGUAUAAAUAUGGACUUUUGAAUCUUUUGAACUUCUCUAAGUUUGGUGACAAUUAGGGUUUGCAAAGAAGGCAAGUAUAUUAAUCAGAAAUCCUAGUUGCAACAGACAGAAAACACAGUUAAGACUGACUUUAAGUAAAAAAGGGAAUUUAUCAACUCAUAAAAUUGUAAAACCCUGACAUAUCUAGCUUCAGGCAUGGCUGGAUCCAGGAGCUCAGAUGGUGUCUUCAGGAAGCUCUCUUUGCAUUGUUGGGCUCUGCUUUUCUCACUGCUGCUCCAUGUCCAGGCAGGAUCCCACCUUGAGAUAACAAGAUAGCUGCCCAGUUCUGUGCAUACUCUCUAUUUUGUCAAUAAAUCCAGCAGAAAGAGCUUCUUUCCCUCAUAAUCCUUCUGACAGAAGUCCUGGGUCAGACUCUUAUUAUCUUGAACCAGGCCCAGUGCCUAUCCCUGCACCAAUCACAGAAGCUGGUAGGGGCUUCAUCUCUAUUCAAAACAGAGAUGAAUUGGUGGGAGAAAUGGGUGAAGGGGGCAAAAAUGCACAAACUUCUGGGUAUAAAAGAAAGAAGUCAUGGGGCUAUAACGGACAACAUGGUGACUGCAGUUAAUUAUGCUGUGUUGUAUAUCUGAAAGCUGCCAAAAGAAUAAAUCUUAGAAAUUCUCAUCACAGGGAAAAAAUUUUUGUGGAUUCAUAAAAGGGUGAUUGUUAAGACUUAUUGUGGUCAUCAUUCCACAAUGUAUACGAAUAUCAAGUUAUUAUGUUGUACACCUGAAACGAACGAACAUAGUGUUACAUGUCAAUUAUACCUCAAUGAAAACAAACAAACAAAUACAUACGUAUAAAAUCGGUGGGCAGGUGAUUCCCUAAGGAAAAUGUGGAUGCUCCUAUCAGAAGUAGGUAAAUGGCUGCACAGGCUGAAGCUGUGGUGGGCUUUGGAAAGCAGAUGCGAUUUGGGCAGAUGGAGAGGAGGGGGGAAGGCGCCCCAGGGAUUCACAGCAGAGCAGAAGUGAGGAGGGGGGAGGAAGUGUGCUGUGAGCACGACCUGCACAUCUGCGGCAGAGGGGGCAGGCGUGUCUGUGGAGUCCUAGAAAGAAGACCUGGGGGAGUUCCUGUAAUGGCUCAGCGGUUAAGGAACCCGACUAGCAUCCACAAGGAUUCAGGUUCCAUCCCUGGCCUUGCUCAGUGGGUUAAGGAUCCAGCAUUGCCGUGAGCUGUGGUGUAGGUCAUGGACGCAGCUCAGAUCCCAUAUUGCUGUGGCUGUGGCAUUGUGUAGGCCAGUGGCUACAGCUCCGAUUGGACCCCUAGCCUGGUGUGGCCCUAAAAAAAAAAAAAGAGAAGAUGACCUGGGACCAAGUGGGCUUGGGGAUCGGGGAGUCACGGGAUCACAGGAUCCAGACCUCGCUUACGGGGACUGUGGGACAGGCUGCCCCUCACGUGAACAGGCUUCCUCCCACCCCUGGAGGUGAGCAAGUAGAGCUCCCUUGUCAGAGUGACCAGCAGAGAAGCCUUCUAGAUGGGCUCUGAGAGCCCUCGCAUCCUUCAAAUAUGACUUUCUAUCGUCCAGGAACCCUCAGCUUCCCCCUCUCCCGACCCCCAGCCCUUCUCUCUCCCGCGCUGCUCGCUAAGGCAAAUGCUCCAUCCUUGCCCCUGACAUGGUUACAGAGUUUCUGAAGACAUUCUGGAUUCUCAUUCUGGCUCCUACAGCCAGGGUAGGACCUUAGGGGAACCACUUGUUCUCUCUGAGGCUGUUUCUCCCUCAGCCCAGGAAGGGGUGAGGCUGUGUGAUCUCCGAGGCCCCUGCCAGCCCUGACCCUCUUGAGUGCUCUGUCCCUCAGCCUGGCGACCUGGGGAGUGACAGGACGCACCACAGGUCUCAGGCUAACCUGGCAGCUUGGCGCUCCAGGGUCUUCAAAGGCAACUUCAUCCUCACUGUGUCGUCUGGUCCUGUCACCUUCCUGUGAGGAGGGAGAGCGGGAGUCCCAGGGGUGCUGUUUAAGGCACAGCCUUGGGAGUCCAGACUUGAGUUCAAAUCAUGGGGCCCUUCCUCUAACUCACUGUGUGAACUUGGGAAAAGCUUCAUCUGCGUUAGUUUCUUCUUCUGAAAACACAGGCAGCAGUGCCAUCUGUGGGCUUGUUAUUUGUGUGAUGAUUAAGUGUAAAGUGCCUAGAACAGCUCUGGGCCCACGUGGGCUGGGCUGGAGAGAGAGGUGACUGGUGGAAUUACGCUAUAGGCUGAAUAACAGGGACUCCUGGCAGGUGCCCAGCAUCUCACAGGGUAUAGCAGGCCCCCAGUCCAGCCUCUGAUGGCAGAUUAAGGCUGCGUAUCAGUCAGGGUUCUGGUAGGAGACAGAUGGCACCCUGGUACUUCAAAGAGAGCUUGACGGAGGGUUUAGGAACAUGGUGGGGAAAGCGCCACUUGGUGGGAGGGUGAGGGGAGGACGGGGUUACUGGGACCCAGGAGGACCGCCAGGCUGGAGCUGUGACCUCACAUGGAGCCUGAAACCGACUCGAACUGACCCAGCAGGGACAGAGCUGGGGAACGAGUCCCCUCCUGUCCCUCCACUCCCUUCCCGCCCAUCCUUUGAUCUCCAGCCCCGGCCUCUUUUUGGCUCCAAACCAAAAGAAAGCUUGAGAGCAAGGAGGUCCGGGGAGGAUGGAGAAGGGAGGGGCGAGAGGGAGGAUCCGGCGGUCUGGGCAGCAGUCAGAUGGGUGGAGGCCUCCCCAUUCCUUUUCAGCCUGUCCUGGGCGGUCAGGAGGAGGAGGAGGACUCAGGAACGUGGAAGGAGGCUCGGGACCCAGGCUGUUCCUCCCAGAAAGGGGGAGAAGGAUACUCUGCUCUUCCUAAAAUACCCACCUGCUCGCUCUCACCUCCAGGCCUUUGCCUGUACCGUUCUCUCUGCCCGGAACACCCUUCCUCCUCAGGCUGCUAACUCGCCCUUAGUGCUUCCUCCUGGCUCAUCUGUGCCUGAAGUCUAUCCCCAGACUUUUUAGUUACAAGAUCCAAGUUAAUUAUCUUUUCAUUUGAGCUAGUUUAGAGCUAGAUUUUCUCUUGCUCUACAACUAGAAUUCUAAGUCAAUGUCCCUUGAGCCUUUUCUGCCUCUUCCCUUUUAAGAUGAGUCACUUUCUCUACGUUCCCACAGUACCCAUGGAUACUUCUCUCAGGGUGCUUGUAACAGGCUACAGCACACGUUUCUUACUGGUGUGUCUCGUCUACAAAGCUGCGAGCUGCUGGAACACAGGACCCCCGUUUGAUCCAUCUCUGCUUCCCCACGUCCAGCACAGGCUGACACACCUCGCACUGGCCAGAUCACACCAGGCAUGUGAUCUUCAGUUCCAGGCAACAUGAGUGAAGGGCACACUAGCCAGUCAGAGGCUGUGGAGAUGAGGGUGGAAUCUGGAAGCCACAUUUUAGGAAGAAAAGAAGAAUUAGGAAAACUUAAAGAAGAGACUGCUCCUAGGAUAGAAUUCAUUUGCUGACUCCACAAAACAUUUCUGGGCACCUCUGGGUGAGGCCCUGGGCUGAUCCUGAGGGGGCCAUGGAUACUGCAGCUACCGUCCCUGCCUGGGGAGCUCACAGUCCGAUGGGGUCAGACCUGGAAACAAGUACAUCAUAGCGGCACUGCCACCUGAGGGGGACGCAGGGUGUGGCCAGGGAAGGCCUCUCAAGGAGGACUUCCAAGAGGGCAAAAUUAUAACACUACUGGGGGCAGCUUUCAGUUUGAGAUGAGGAAUAACUUUCUAACAAUCAGAAUUACGAAGAAUGUGGAGUUCCCGUUGUGGCUUAGUGGUUAAUGAAUCCAACUAGGAACCAUGAGGUUGCGGGUUUGAUCCCUGGCCUUGCUCAGUGAGUUAAGGAUCCGGCGUUGCCGUGAGCUGUGAUGUCGGCUGCAGAUGCGGCUCGGAUCCCGAGUUGCUGUGGCUCUGGCGUAGGCCGGCAGCAACAGUUCCGAUUCGACCCCUAGCCUGGGAACUUCCAUAUGCUGCGGGAGCGGCCCCAGAAAAGGCAAAAAGAC